UAAGGAUGCCAUAUCACCCUGCAACUCACAACUGGUAACCCACUGAAGCUAAGCAGGUGUGAGCCUGGUCAGUACCUGGAUGGGAGACCUCCUGGAAAAAACUAGGGUUGCUGCUGGAA
ensembl:rRNA 5S_rRNA 5S ribosomal RNA